GUGGGGAAUAUUGGACAAUGGGCGAAAGCCUGAUCCAGCCAUGCCGCGUGUGUGAAGAAGGUCUUCGGAUUGUAAAGCACUUUAAGUUGGGAGGAAGGGCAGUAAGUUAAUACCUUGCUGUUUUGACGUUACCAACAGAAUAAGCACCGGCUAACUUCGUGCCAGCAGCCGCGGUAAUACGAAGGGUGCAAGCGUUAAUCGGAAUUACUGGGCGUAAAGCGCGCGUAGGUGGUUCAGCAAGUUGGAGGUGAAAUCCCCGGGCUCAACCUGGGAACUGCCUCCAAAACUACUGAGCUAGAGUACGGUAGAGGGUAGUGGAAUUUCCUGUGUAGCGGUGAAAUGCGUAGAUAUAGGAAGGAACACCAGUGGCGAAGGCGACUACCUGGACUGAUACUGACACUGAGGUGCGAAAGCGUGGGGAGCAAACAGGAUUAGAACCCCUGUAGUCC
rnacentral:rRNA from 1 species